rnacentral:snRNA from 1 species
AGCUUUGAACAGUGGCAGUAUUGUAGCCAAUGAGCUUUAUCCAAGGCAUGAUUAUUGCUAAUUGAAAUUCAGAAAAAGUGGG